rfam:Triticum aestivum genome assembly, contig: Triticum_aestivum_CS42_TGACv1_scaffold_292759_4AL
AUAAUACCCCCUCCGUCCGGAAUUACUUGUCAUCAAAAUGGAUGUGUCUAGAACUAAAAUACAUCUAGAUACAUCCAUUUCAAUGACAAGUAUUUUCGGACGGAGGGAGUAGUAG